rnacentral:tRNA from 1 species
AAGGGAGACCUAAUUCGGGUAUAAGACGAAAAAAGAGUAGUCGAAACCAAGAAUCAAUCCCAAAAGGUCGGAACGAGGUACGUGGCUUUCAAACUAGGUUCUGGGUUCACACAAGACCUGAAUCAGGAACAAGGGCUAUUAGCUCAGGUGGUUAGAGCGCACCCCUGAUAAGGGUGAGGUCCCUGGUUCGAGUCCAGGAUGGCCCACCUGCACAGGUGGCAAAAACAAAGAAGCGAGGAAUUAGCACCUUAUCUUAUCUAUAUAUAAGAGAGAAUGCUGGCUCUGAGUAAAGAGUCCAGAGGAACCUUGAAAACUGCAUAGAGCUAGGUGAAAAAGCCAAAAAAGAAGACCGCAA